CCCUCCUGCCCCGCAGCACAUUGAGGCUCUCUUGCUGCAUGUGCCUGGCCCAGUGGGACCACGGGAGGGAGGGGACCCGUGAGGACACCCCAGGGACAGGUAGCACAGCACAAACAUGCGCAGCAUCACCUGUCUGGGCCCACCGAGAAGCCGGAAAGGCUUUGGGGUGCAUCCUGCAUCCACCUCCCUGUGAGAUGAGUGGCAGGGCGGCAGAAGGACAGCCAGGCAAAGAAAAGCACCCUGCAAACCAGGCAGAACGGCUAAUAAAAAGCUGGACUAAAGACACUCCAUCUAAGAAACACUGAGCCACAGACUUGUCCUUCUUUUGUCCUGCCAGGUGCUCUUCAGAGGUGGGAACACUGCAAUCAGUCAUGUUGGCUGCCAGGUGGCUCAUAGCGAUGCUUGAGGAGCAGUUUGUCGGCGUGUGUGGUAAAGGAAGGCCCUGCAUGUCUUUGCUGUGAUGCUAUCCCAGUCCCUUGCACAGGGUUAGCUGGCUGGCAUUGCUAGGUUCAAUUCUUUGUAUUUGACUGUUUUUCUCUCUUCCCCUCCAAGAAACCAGAGAAUUCUCCACCAGAGAACAAGUUUAUUGCAAGUUUGGAUCUCCAAGCUGAGAAAGCUUCAGGGUAAGGAACUAAGACCUCUUCAGUUAGAUGAAAGAUGUGCACAACCAAGCAUCAAUACAGUCGAGAAUAUUGA